rnacentral:rRNA from 1 species
GAGUUUGAUCUUGGCUCAGAUUGAACGCUGGCGGCAGGCCUAACACAUGCAAGUCGAGCGGAUGACGGGAGCUUGCUCCUUGAUUCAGCGGCGGACGGGUGAGUAAUGCCUAGGAAUCUGCCUGGUAGUGGGGGACAACGUUUCGAAAGGAACGCUAAUACCGCAUACGUCCUACGGGAGAAAGCAGGGGACCUUCGGGCCUUGCGCUAUCAGAUGAGCCUAGGUCGGAUUAGCUAGUUGGUGGGGUAAUGGCUCACCAAGGCGACGAUCCGUAACUGGUCUGAGAGGAUGAUCAGUCACACUGGAACUGAGACACGGUCCAGACUCCUACGGGAGGCAGCAGUGGGGAAUAUUGGACAAUGGGCGAAAGCCUGAUCCAGCUAUGCCGCGUGUGUGAAGAAGGUCUUCGGAUUGUAAAGCACUUUAAGUUGGGUAGGAAGGGCAGUAAGUUAAUACCUUGCUGUUUUGACGUUACCGACAGAAUAAGCACCGGCUAACUCUGUGCCAGCAGCCG